AACGAACGCUGGCGGCAUGCCUAACACAUGCAAGUCGAACGGGAUCCGGACUUCGGUCCGGUGAGAGUGGCGGACGGGUGAGUAACACGUGGGAACCUGCCUUUUGGUUCGGGAUAACCGCGGGAAACUGCGGCUAAUACCGGAUACUCCCGAGAGGGGAAAGAUUUAUCGCCAGAAGAGGGGCCCGCGUCCGAUUAGGUAGUUGGUGGGGUAAUGGCCUACCAAGCCGACGAUCGGUAGCUGGUCUGAGAGGAUGAUCAGCCACACUGGGACUGAGAUACGGCCCAGACUCCUACGGGAGGCAGCAGUGGGGAAUCUUGCGCAAUGGACGAAAGUCUGACGCAGCGACGCCGCGUGAGUGAUGAAGGCCUCGGGUU
rnacentral:rRNA from 1 species